AUCUUUGAAGCUGGCUCAGGAUGAACGCUAGCGCAGGCCUAGCACAUGGCAGUCGAACGAGAUUAAGAGGCUUGCUGUUUAUGAAAGUGGCGCACGGGUGCGUAACGCGUAUGCAACCUACCUUAAUCAGACGAUAGCCCGAAGAAAUUCGGAUUAAGACCGCAUAAAAACACAGGAUAGCAUUAUCCAAUGUUCAAAUAUUUAUAGGAUUAAGAUGGGCAUGCGUGUCAUUAGCUAGUUGGCGGGGUAACGGCCCACCAAGGCGACGAUGACUAGGGGAUCUGAGAGGAUGACCCCCCACACUGGUACUGAGACACGGACCAGACUCCUACGGGAGGCAGCAGUAACUUAUAUUGGUCAAUGGAGGGAACUCUGAACCAAGCAUGCCGCGUGCAGGUUGACAGCCCUCUGGGUCGUAAACUGCUUAGCUCGGGAAUAAACCUUUCUACGUGUAGGAAGCUGAAUGUACCGAAGGAAUAAGGAUCGGCUAACUCCGUGCCAGCAGCCGCGGUAAUACGGAGGAUCCAAGCGUUACAGGGAUUUAUUGGGUUUAACUGGUGCGUAGGCGGCUUAUUAAGUCAGGGGUGAAGACGGUGGCUCACCCAUCGCAGUGCCCUUGAUACUGAUGAGCUUGAGAACACUAGAGGUAGGCGGAAUGUGACAAGUAGCGGUGAAAUGCAUAGAUAUGUCACAGAACACCGAUUGCGAAGGCAGCUUACGCGGGUGUUAUUGACGCUGAGGCACGACUCCGUGGGGAUCAAACAGGAUUAGAUACCCUGGUAGUCCACGCCCUAGAUGAAUACUCGCUGUUAGCGAUAUACAGUUAGCGGCUAAGCGAAAGCGUUAAGUAUUCCACCUGGGGAGUACGCCCGCAAGGGUGAAACUCAAAGGAAUUGACGUACGCCCGCACAAGCGGAGGAGCAUGUGGUUUAAUUCGAUGAUACGCGAGGAACCUUACCCGGGCUUGAACUUUAGUGAAUGAUCUAGAGAUAGAUCAGUGAGCAAUCACACGAGUGUAGGUGCUGCAGAAUGUCGUCAGCUCGUGCCGUGAGGUGUACGGUUAAGUCCCGCAACGGCGCAACCCCUAUGUUUAGUUGCCAGCACGUUAAGGUGGGGACUCUAAACAGCUUGCCUGUGCAAACAGAGAGCUAGGAGUGACGACGUCAAGUCAUCAUGGCCCUUACGGACGGGGCUACACACGUGCUACAAUGGAUGGUACAGAGGGCAGCAAGCUGGCAACAGCAAGCGAAUCUCAAAAAGCCAUUCACAGUUCGGAUAGAGGUCUGCAACUCGACCUCUUGAAGUUGGAUUCGCUAGUAAUCGCGUAUCAGCAAUGACGCGGUGAAUACGUUCCCGGCCUUGUACACACCGCCCGUCAAGCCAUGGAAGUUGUCGGUACCUAAAGUAUGUAACCUUACUAAGCGUCCUAGGGUAAAACCGAUAACUGGGGCUAAGUCGUACUGUCGUAGCGU
rnacentral:rRNA from 1 species